rnacentral:misc_RNA from 1 species
CCGUACCACUCCAUGCUCAUGCCACCCGUGUCUUGCGGACGCUCUUCACGCGCACACCUGCGCUGCUUCCCCCUCUCUCCCUUCCUCCCACAACCGCCUCUCCCCAAAAAGAGGCAACGACAGCGGGUCUCUUUUCUCUCUUGUGGCACCCACUAGCACCUCCUCUCACUUCCCCCUUUCUGGACUCCCCCACAUUCGUCCCGCAUAUCGUUGUUUUUUUUUUUCUGUUGUUGGCAAGGUCCUUGCCUGUGUGUGUGGUUGUGUUAGAGGUGGGAAGUUGUUGCCACACCGUGUAUGCCUGCGUCCUAUGAGUCCGUGGUGCUGGUGGUAGCGCGUGUGACUGUGCCAGGUCGGUUCAGGUGAAGAUGAGGCCUUCAGUAUACACUCAGCCAUGCACGUGUGUGCGUGCAAGUGCGUUCGCGUGCACUAUGAUGUCAGCAUCGUCAUCUCAUUUCUUCUCUGCGUUAUCUUUUCUCUCCUCUAAACGAGUAUCUUGUAUUUUUUUUUGUCUUCGCCAUAGCGCGUGUGCCUGUGUGAUUUUUUUUUUGGCGUGUGUGGCAAGAUGGGUUACCUGGCGAUGCUGCUGCUGUUGCUGCACCUUUCAUGGCGCUGUUGGAAUGGACGUUGCCGACGGCGUCCGGUGAUGUGGUCAAGAUAGAUCACCUCGUGCUUGUGCGGUGUUUCUUCUUUUCGCGUGCGUGUGUGUGUGUGUGUGCGCUGCCACACUUCCUCUAGUUGCGGAACGUGCGUGGAAUCUUUCUCUUUCGCACGGGAAUGUACGCUCCCACAGGAGACAUGCCCAAACAGGAACGUCUCUCGGGGUUUCAUUUUCUAGGCUUUUGACUGGCGUGCGCGUAUCGUUAAGCGCUUCGACGCACUUCGUUGUGCGCGGGCAUAGAUCCGCACCUGCACACGAACGGAUUGUUCGUGAUGGUGGUGGCGGGGAGAGGCGAGGGUGCUGGCUCGCUUGCGUGUGUGCAUCUGUGUUUAUGCCAUGUCUGCCAUCGUUCAGGAUUUCGCGUCUUUUCUUCUUGCUCUCUCUUGUAAUUUUUCCUCUUUGCUUCCAUUGCUCGCUUGCUCAUCUCUCUUGCUCCUCUUCCUCCGCGAUCACACACGAGUUGGUACCACCUCAGCGAUGCGAGUCCAACUGAGAAGCAAAGAUCACAAAAAGCUUGGCCCUGCUGUGCGACCAUGCAGUGGUGCGUAUGUGUGCGUGUUUGUGUGAGUUUAUAUGCACCACACCCAUGCCCUCGCCGGGGGCUCGGUGUGCCACGGCGAGGGCAUGCCGAACAGUGCUGCUGUGCAGAGCGGCGAUCUUUUUCGCAGCGGCGUCUUCUCUCUAUUCGAUCCCAAGAUGCUCAUGGAAAGGAGCUCGGGCGCUGACGAGUGGGUAUUCAGCAAUUACGCUCCUCGCAGUCACUUUAGCGACAGCGCGAUGCUGCACGCACCCCUCUGCAGAUGCGCCUUUUCUUCCUUGCCCCCCCCCCUUGUAUCGUUCACGUCACCGCUCUUCUCUGCUUCUCCCCCAACACCUGUCUCUCUGCCUUUUCCUUCCUGGGUGGCGCCAACUGCUCGUGAAAUGUAUAUGUUUGUCUGCGUAUGUGCUGUGGCUGGCUCUUAG